UUGACCCGCGCCUUCCAGGUACCAGAGUUAGUGUCGGCUGCCUGGGUCCUGGAGGUGGGUGUUUUCACCAUCCCAGCUCCACAGAUGUGGGAACCGAGGGGCAUAGAGGUUAAACUUGCGUUCCGAGUAAGCGGUCGAGCUGGGGUUCGAAUCCUCUUCCCCUGAGGCUCAAGCCUGUCCUCUCGUCCUGGACCUGCGCGUUUCUUUAGGAGCUGAGGGAGGAAAUCGUGCGGAACGAUAAGGCCUGGGAGGCUAGAGAACGCAGCCUUAUCACCGCCUCACACGCUUAGGCGUCGAGAGCUCACAAGCCCACUUUCGUAACAACUUUCCCGACAGCAGGCUUAGAGCUUGAGAGCACAGGCUUUGUGGACGGCCAGACCUGGAGCCAAGUCCUGGGUCUGCCACUGACCAUGUGACUCUCUAAGUCAUUUUCCCUGGUCUGAGACUGCAUCUCCUCAUCUGUAAAGUGGAAUGCCUGAGGACAAAUGGGAAUUCUCACUAAUUUCCAGGACUACCCUGGGGCAGGCCCACAGGCAACCCAACAUGCCCAGAACAAUGCUCGGACCACUGCUCUGUUCUUCAGCCACAGCAGCGUCACAGGGAUAAAGCUAUUUCGGGAGACACAGCCAGAAAACUGCCCUCUUCCCACCCAAACAGGAUACUCACAUGAUUGUAUUCCUCUAUACGAUAUAGUUGAUCAGGUGUACACCUCUCCAAAACAGGUUCAAGAACAGAAUAUGGGACUCCUCCCACUUCAAAGAUUGCUGCAGAGAAAUCAAAGGUGAAAGCAUUGAAUAGCGGCCAAACCACCCAGUGAUAAGGGUCUGAGUGCUACAAUGUGCUUGAGAGCUAGAGAGAAGCGUGUGACUUACAAUCGAUGUUGUUUUUAAGUACCCGGAUGCACUGCUGGUGCAAGGUCAUCAUUUUGGGGAGAUAGGCACAUUUGGAACCAGAAUACACCUGCAUUUUGGAAUUCAUUCUGCGUCCAGUGAAUCCGGCUUCUUCUUCGUCCAGGGGUGAAGAGAAUGCUACAGGGCAAGAAAAACCCAAAAGGAAAUUACAGAAGGCUCUAAGUGAUACAGUAAAAACUCUCCGUCCACCCCAGUCCUCGGCCUCCCACUUCCUUCAAAGGCAACCCAUGCUACCAGUUUCCUGUGGAUCCUCCCAGAGACUUUAUCCAAAAGAUGCAAGCAGGGCAGGAUUCACUCCGGUCCAUGGCUUUCGAUUUCCUGCUUUCAACCACUCGGCCACACCAAGGGGAAGUGAGCCAGAGAGAAGAGGAUCAAAACCUACCAACUCAGAUAAAAGUCAUCAACAACUGUCAGUUUGUCCCUGUAUUGACAGAAUUUAUGAGAAGGAUGCCAAUUUUAGGAAAAUUACCCAUGGACUGGCACACAGGAAAGUAAAGAGAGAAGAGGCCUCUGCAGGGAAAGAGCACCAUGUUUCCAGAGGCCCGCAGUGUUGAAUUGGUUUUUUGAUGCAUAAGUGGGAAGCCAAGAGCAAGUUCAAGUUGCUAGAAUCAGAGCUUUGCUGUUAAUGGUGAACACACAAUGCCUAGGUAGAUUAAAAAAGCGAUCUGGGUUUGGCCACAUUUCCUUUCUAUAGCCCCUAAAACUAGGUCAAAAUCAGUAGAGCAGAGCUGUUAAGAUGGAGUUCCAGAGUCAGAGACGGGCUUCACAGUCUAGCUCUGUCACCUCCUUGCCAGGUGAUCUUGUACAAGUCAGAAACCUCUCCAGACUUCAGGAAUUAGAUCCUGUCUCUGCUUCACAAACUGUGAGAACUCACUGAACCAAACCAUGAGCAGUCCUUAGUCAUAGUGCCUGGAAUAGUCUGAAAGCUCAAUAAAUGAUUAUUAAUCAUUUCAUUCAUCAACU